rnacentral:rRNA from 1 species
GACUCUCGACAACCGAUAUCUCGGCUCUCGCAUCGAUGAAAAACGUAGUGAAAUGCGAUACUUGGUGUGAAUUGCAAAAUCCCGUGAACCAUUCAGUCUUUUAACGCAAGUUGCCCCCCAAGCCUUCUUGCCGAAGGCACCUUUUCCUGGGGGUC